GAUCCUGGCUCGGGACGAACGCUGGCGGCGUGCCUAACACAUGCAAGUCGAGCGAGGAGAUCCUUCGGGAUGAUCCUAGCGGCGGACGGGUGAGUAACACGUGGGCAACCUGCCUCGAUAGAGAGGAAUAGCCUUCCGAAAGGGAGAUUAAUACCUCAUAACAUUGCAGUUUCGCAUGGAACAGCAAUUAAAGGAGCAAUCCGCUAUGAGAUGGGCCCGCGGCGCAUUAGCUAGUUCGGUGAGGUAAACGGCUCACCAAGGCGACGAUGCGUAGCCGACCUGAGAGGGUGAUCGGCCACAUUGGGACUGAGACACGGCCCAGACUCCUACGGGAGGCAGCAGUGGGGAAUAUUGCACGAAUGGGGGAAACCCUGAUGCAAGCAACGCCGCGUGAGUGAUGACGGCCUUCGGGUUGUAAAGCUCUGUCUUCAGGGACGAUAAUGACGGUACCUGAGGAGGAAGCCACGGCUAACUACGUGCCAGCCGCUGC
rnacentral:rRNA from 1 species